rnacentral:rRNA from 1 species
UGGGGAAUAUUGCACAAUGGGCGCAAGCCUGAUGCAGCCAUGCCGCGUGUGUGAAGAAGGCCUUCGGGUUGUAAAGCACUUCUCAGCGAGGAAGGAGGUGGUGAGCUUAAUACGCUCAUCAAUUGACGUUACUCGCAGAAGAAGCACCGGCUAACUCCGUGCCAGCAGCCGCGGUAAUACGAAGGGUGCAAGCGUUAAUCGGAAUUACUGGGCGUAAAGCGCACGCAGGCGGUUUGUUAAGUCAGAUGUGAAAUCCCCGGGCUCAACCUGGGAACUGCAUUUGAAACUGGCAAGCUAGAGUCUCGUAGAGGGGGUAGAAUUCCAGGUGUAGCGGUGAAAUGCGUAGAGAUCUGGAGGAAUACCGGUGGCGAAGGCGGCCCCCUGGACGAAGACUGACGCUCAGGUGCGAAAGCGUGGGG